GUUUGCUGCUGCCUGUACAGAUGAUGAUGUCUAACAACUUGGAUCGUGUCUAGAACUGCAGGCUGUCCCUGGACCGUAAAGGUUGUUAUAUCUAGGAACUCAAUGCUUCACUUCAAACACUAGAUCAUCCAUGUGACUGCAACUAUUAUCUACAUUGGAGUUGGUUGCUGCCUGUACAGAUGAUGGAAGUCUCUUUGAACAUGUCUAGAAACUCACUGCUACACUUCAACCACUGUAGGUCACUCAUGUGACGCUAACUGUUAUCUUCAGUGGAGUUGGCUGCUGCCUGCACAGAUCAUUGGAGUCUAACAACUUUGAACAUGUCUAGAAACUCACUGCAGGUUAUCCAUGUGACUGUGCAGGUUAUGCUAUCCAGAAACUCUUGGCUACACUACAACCACAGUAGGUCAUCCAGGUGACGCUAACUGUUAUCUUUAAUGGAGUUGGCUGCUGACUGCACAGAUGAUGAAAGUCUAACAACUUGGAACAUCUAGAAACUCACUGCAGGCUAU